rnacentral:rRNA from 1 species
CAAUAGUGUAUAUUUAAGUUGCUGCAGUUAAAAAGCUCGUAGUUGGAUUUCGGGUGGGAAUGGCCGGUCCGCCGUUUCGGUGUGCACUUGCUACGCCCACCUUGCUGCCGGGGACGUGCUCUUGAGUUCACGCUCGGGACACGGAGUCGGCGAGGUUACUUUGAGUAAAUUAGAGUGUUCAAAGCAGGCCUACGCUCUGAAUACAUUAGCAUGGAAUAACACGAUAGGACUCUGGCCUAUCUUGUUGGUCUGUAGGACCGGAGUAAUGAUUAAGAGGGACAGUCGGGGGCAUUCGUAUUUCAUUGUCAGAGGUGAAAUUCUUGGAUUUAUUAAAGACGGACUACUGCGAAAGCAUUUGCCAAGGAUGUUUUCAUUGA